AUUGAACGCUGGCGGCAGGCUUAACACAUGCAAGUCGAGCGGAGAUGAGGUGCUUGCACCUUAUCUUAGCGGCGGACGGGUGAGUAAUGCUUAGGAAUCUGCCUAUUAGUGGGGGACAACAUUCCGAAAGGAAUGCUAAUACCGCAUACGCCCUACGGGGGAAAGCAGGGGAUCUUCGGACCUUGCGCUAAUAGAUGAGCCUAAGUCGGAUUAGCUAGUUGGUGGGGUAAAGGCCUACCAAGGCGACGAUCUGUAGCGGGUCUGAGAGGAUGAUCCGCCACACUGGGACUGAGACACGGCCCAGACUCCUACGGGAGGCAGCAGUGGGGAAUAUUGGACAAUGGGCGGAAGCCUGAUCCAGCCAUGCCGCGUGUGUGAAGAAGGCCUUUUGGUUGUAAAGCACUUUAAGCGAGGAGGAGGCUACCUGGAUUAAUACUCUAGGAUAGUGGACGUUACUCGCAGAAUAAGCACCGGCUAACUCUGUGCCAGCAGCCGCCGCAGUAA
rnacentral:rRNA from 1 species